GACCGAUAGUGAACCAGUACCGUGAGGGAAAGGCGAAAAGAACCCCUAGCAGGGGAGUGAAAUAGACCCUGAAACCGGAUGCUUACAAGCAGUUGGAGCCUCUUUAUGAGGUGACAGCGUACCUUUUGUAUAAUGGGUCAGCGACUUAAUCUCAUUAGCAAGCUUAAGCCAUAUAGGUGUAGGCGAAGCGAAAGCGAGUCUGAAUAGGGCGAUUUAGUUAAUGGGAUUAGACUCGAAACCGGGUGAUCUAGUCAUGAGCAGGUUGAAAGUGAAGUAAAAUUCACCGGAGGACCGAACCCACUAGCGUUGAAAAGCUACGGGAUGACUUGUGAUUAGGGGUGAAAGGCCAACCAAACUCGGAAAUAGCUAGUUCUCCGCGAAAACUAUUUAGGUAGUGCGUCGUGUGAAUCUUAUUGGGGGUAGAGCACUGAAUGGGCUAGGGGGAAGCAAUUCCUACCAAACCUAAUCAAACUCCGAAUACCAGUAAGUCUGCACGGCAGACAGUCCAUGGGUGCUAAGGUCCUUGGACGAGAGGGAAACAGCCCAGAUCAACAGCUAAGGUCCCCAAAUAAUGAUUAAGUGUGAAAGGGAGUGGGAACUCCAAGACAGCCAGGAGGUUGGCUUAGAAGCAGCCAUCCUUUAAAGAAAGCGUAACAGCUCACUGGUCUAAUUAAGAGAUCCUGCACCGAAAAUGUAACGGGGCUCAAAUCAUUUACCGAAGCUUUGACAAUUACUUUUAGUAAUUGGGUAGCGGAGCGUUCUGUAAGCCUGUAAAGGUGAUGCGUAAGCAUUGCUGGAGGUAUCAGAAGUGCGAAUGCUGACAUGAGUAACGAUAAGAAAUGUGAAAGACAUUUCCGCCGAAAUCCUAAGGUUUCCUGCGUAAAGCUAAUCUGCGCAGGGUUAGUCGGCCCCUAAGGCGAGGGCGAAAGCCGUAGUCGAUGGGAAGCAGGUUAAUAUUCCUGCACCAGCUGGUAGUGACGGAUGAAGUAAAUUGUGAGUUCUUACUGGAUUGAACUUGCAGUGAAUUUGUCCCUGGAAAUAGCUCCAGCAUUAGACCGUACCAAAACCGACACAGGUAGGAGGGUAGAGAAUACCAAGGCGCUUGAGAGAACUAUGUUGAAGGAACUCGGCAAAUUACACUUGUAACUUCGGGAUAAAAGUGACCUGCUAUUGGGCAACCAGUAGGAGGUGGCACAGAAGAGGGGGUAGCGACUGUUUACUAAAAACAUAGCACUAUGCAAAGUCGAAAGACGACGUAUAUGGUGUGACGCCUGCCCGGUGCCGGAAGGUUAAUAGGAGGGGUGCAAGCCCUGAAUUGAAGCCCCGGUGAACGGCGGCCGUAACUAUAACGGUCCUAAGGUAGCGAAAUUCCUUGUCGGGUAAGUUCCGACCUGCACGAAUGGCGUAACGAUUUCCCCACUGUCUCCAACAUAGACUCAGUGAAAUUGAAUUCUCGGUUAAGAUGCCGAGUAACCGUGGUUAGACGGAAAGACCCCGUGCACCUUUACUGCAGCUUUGUAUUGGUAUUAGGGAACAGAUGUGUAGCAUAGGUGGGAGACUUUGAAGGAGUGGCGCUAGCCAUUCUGGAGUCACUAGUGAAAUACCACUCUUCUGUUCCUUGAUGCCUAACCAUACACCGUCAUCCGGUGUUGGGACCAUGCAUGGUGGGCAGUUUGACUGGGGCGGUCGCCUCCCAAAGAGUAACGGAGGCGCGCGAUGGUAGGCUCAGAACGCUUGGAAACCGUUCGUCGAGUGCAAUGGCAUAAGCCUGCCUGACUGCGAGACCCACAAGUCGAGCAGAGACGAAAGUCGGUCAUAGUGAUCCGGUGGCACUUCGUGGAAGGGCCAUCGCUCAACGGAUAAAAGGUACGCCGGGG
rnacentral:rRNA from 1 species